CAUCAUACUGAGCUUGGAUUCAAGACAGAGAGAGUCAAGGAAAAUGCAAAGCCAAUAACUGUCUUCAGGCUUUGACUUCAAAAUAACAUAUUUUAUCAUACAUUAGCACUAAAUAUUGUCCUACAAUUGAAGAUAUAUUUGUCGCUGAUCUAAGAGUUACAUUAGCUUAAGUCUGGAGGGCUUCUGGCAUCUACGGAUGCCAGAUGUCUUUUCUCCUCAUCCCCAAAGGCUACCAUCGCAGCAUCUGAGAAGCUGUCCCUUGACUCCAGGAUGACAUUUACUCAGGAAUGUGCUUUUCCACUGUGGCUGUCCAUGUGAUUGAUCAGGCUGAUUCUCCACCUCCAGAUCAUUGGACACAGAGCAAGAUUUCCCACAAGAUACUCAGAUCCAGAGUACUGAGGAGAAUUCGAAAUAGGACCAGGUGUAAGCCAUUCAGUCUCUUGAGUCUCUUCUGCCACUCCAUAAGAUCAUGCUGACAAGUUCGAAGUUCAAAUUUCACCUUCCCAUAUACUUCUGAUGUUCUUUGAAUCUCUUGCCUAACAAGAAACUAUCCACUUUUGACUUAAAAAUUUUAAUGUCCCUGCUUCCAUUAACUUCUAAGGCAGAAAAUUUCAAUGUUGCACAAACCGUCUCUGUUCAAGAGCUGACCUCCUAAUUUUCAAAUGUGCCCCCUGCUUGUGGACUCACCCACAUCAGAAAACAUCAUCUAUUCAUGAAGAAAUUAUUCCUUUUAUGUAGUUACCUUUCUGGGUUUGUUU